rnacentral:lncRNA from 1 species
AAAAUCACCAAGAAGACCAAGAACAGAACUUAUCUCCAUUGCUUUACAUAAAAAUGGCUGGGUGCAUUGCCAUGCUAACACUGCACUAAGUGGUACACGCAGGCGGAUACACAGUAGCCACAGAGUUCACAAAAUUACUGAGAUGGUUUUGCCGAAAGUACCUGUCAAUACCACUUUUAAAAGACACCAAUAGAAGAACAACCUGAUUUUCGCCCAGUUUUUCUCUAAGCUUCACGAUUCCGAGUACUGGGAAAACGGGUUUUGCUGACGUUUUAACGUGACAGGCAGAGGCAGAGCGAGCACAUAGGAAGACUGUGCCGAAUAUAGUGGAGCAUCUGGCUCAAUGAAGUCAGGCGACUUCCUUCUGCAUCUAGGUAAGCGUUUGCUGGCGCUUAUGAAGCACUAACAGUAGUGUUGCACCCCAGUCCUGAGGCAGUAAAUAACCUGGAGGAACCAAAAUUAGAGAGCAAGACUACUGCUUAAAAUAAAACCACCUCAUGAUGCUGUAUGGGUUUCUAU